UGGGGAAUAUUGCACAAUGGGCGCAAGCCUGAUGCAGCCAUGCCGCGUGUGUGAAGAAGGCCUUCGGGUUGUAAAGCACUUUCAGCGGGGAGGAAGGCGAUAAGGUUAAUAACCUCAUCGAUUGACGUUACCCGCAGAAGAAGCACCGGCUAACUCCGUGCCAGCAGCCGCGGUAAUACGGAGGGUGCAAGCGUUAAUCGGAAUUACUGGGCGUAAAGCGCACGCAGGCGGUCUGUCAAGUCGGAAGUGAAAUCCCCGGGAUCAACCUGGGAACUGCAUUCGAAACUGGCAGGCUAGAGUCAUGUAGAGGGGGGUAGAAUUCCAGGUGUAGCGGUGAAAUGCGUAGAGAUCUGGGGGAAUACCGGUGGCGAAGGCGGCCCCCUGGACAAAGACUGACGCUCAGGUGCGAAAGCGUGGGGAGCAAACAGG
rnacentral:rRNA from 1 species